CGUUUGACCUCGGAUCAGGUAGGGAUACCCGCUGAACUUAAGCAUAUCAAUAAGCGGAGGAAAAGAAACCAACAGGGAUUGCCCUAGUAACGGCGAGUGAAGCGGCAACAGCUCAAAUUUGAAAUCUGGCUCUUUUAGAGUCCGAGUUGUAAUUUGCAGAGGGCGCUUUGGCUUUGGCAGCGGUCCAAGUUCCUUGGAACAGGACGUCACAGAGGGUGAGAAUCCCGUACGUGGUCGCUAGCUAUUGCCGUGUAAAGCCCCUUCGACGAGUCGAGUUGUUUGGGAAUGCAGCUCUAAAUGGGAGGUAAAUUUCUUCUAAAGCUAAAUAUUGGCCAGAGACCGAUAGCGCACAAGUAGAGUGAUCGAAAGAUGAAAAGCACUUUGGAAAGAGAGUCAAACAGCACGUGAAAUUGUUGAAAGGGAAGCGCUUGCAGCCAGACUUGCUUGCAGUUGCUCAUCCGGGCUUUUGCCCGGUGCACUCUUCUGCAGGCAGGCCAGCAUCAGUUUGGGCGGUGGGAUAAAGGUCUCUGACACGUUCCUUCCUUCGGGUUGGCCAUAUAGGGGAGACGUCAUACCACCAGCCUGGACUGAGGUCCGCGCAUCUGCUAGGAUGCUGGCGUAAUGGCUGUAAGCGGCCCGUCUUGAAACACGGACCAAGGAGUCUAACAUCUAUGCGAGUGUUUGGGUGUCAAGCCCGAGCGCGUAAUGAAAGUGAACGGAGGUGGGAACCCGCAAGGGUGCACCAUCGACCGAUCCUGAAGUUUACGGAAGGAUUUGAGUAAGAGCAUGGCUGUUGGGACCCGAAAGAUGGUGAACUAUGCUUGAAUAGGGUGAAGCCAGAGGAAACUCUGGUGGAGGCUCGCAGCGGUUCUGACGUGCAAAUCGAUCGUCAAAUUUGGGCAUAGGGGCGAAAGGACUAAUCGAACUAUCUAGU
rnacentral:rRNA from 1 species